CAGAAGCCGAGCCAUCCUCGUGUGAGCAGGUCAAAGUCACAGGACGGGCACUUGCUGAUGUACAUUCCAGAGAUGCACAAGUUCUUGCCUGUCAAAGUGCUUGCUCUUCUUCACCGAAUCUUCGUCGUGGAGAAUCUUCAGGACGCCUACGUGACCGUCUACGACUGCUACGAGACAGCGAAGGAUCCCACAGGAACGCGACUGCGACGGAAGAGGACAUUUCUCCACAAGGGCUCAGAUCAAUGUUCCAGUAACUUGUAAUCACUUCUAAUAAAUACUUUUCUUAAUCUA